rnacentral:rRNA from 1 species
GCUUAACACAUGCAAGUCGAACGGAAAGGCCCUGCUUUUGUGGGGUGCUCGAGUGGCGAACGGGUGAGUAACACGUGAGUAACCUGCCCUUGACUUUGGGAUAACUUCAGGAAACUGGGGCUAAUACCGGAUAGGAGCUCCUGCUGCAUGGUGGGGGUUGGAAAGUUUCGGCGGUUGGGGAUGGACUCGCGGCUUAUCAGCUUGUUGGUGGGGUAGUGGCUUACCAAGGCUUUGACGGGUAGCCGGCCUGAGAGGGUGACCGGCCACAUUGGGACUGAGAUACGGCCCAGACUCCUACGGGAGGCAGCAGUGGGGAAUAUUGCACAAUGGGCGGAAGCCUGAUGCAGCAACGCCGCGUGCGGGAUGACGGCCUUCGGGUUGUAAACCGCUUUCGCCUGUGACGAAGCGUGAGUGACGGUAAUGGGUAAAGAAGCACCGGCUAACUACGUGCCAGCAGCCGCGGUGAUACGUAGGGUGCGAGCGUUGUCCGGAUUUAUUGGGCGUGAAGGGCUCGUAGGUGGUUGAUCGCGUCGGAAGUGUAAUCUUGGGGCUUAACCCUGAGCGUGCUUUCGAUACGGGUUGACUUGAGGAAGGUAGGGGAGAAUGGAAUUCCUGGUGGAGCGGUGGAAUGCGCAGAUAUCAGGAGGAACACCAGUGGCGAAGGCGGUUCUCUGGGCCUUUCCUGACGCUGAGGAGCGAAAGCGUGGGGAGCGAACAGGCUUAGAUACCCUGGUAGUCCACGCUGUAAACGGUGGGUACUAGGUGUGGGGUCCAUUCCACGGGUUCCGUGCCGUAGCUAACGCUUUAAGUACCCCGCCUGGGGAGUACGGCCGCAAGGCUAAAACUCAAAGGAAUUGACGGGGCCCCGCACAAGCGGCGGAGCAUGCGGAUUAAUUCGAUGCAACGCGUAGAACCUUACCUGGGUUUGACAUGGAUCGGGAGUGCUCAGAGAUGGGUGUGCCUCUUUUGGGGUCGGUUCACAGGUGGUGCAUGGCUGUCGUCAGCUCGUGUCGUGAGAUGUUGGGUUAAGUCCCGCAACGAGCGCAACCCUUGUUCACUGUUGCCAGCACGUUAUGGUGGGGACUCAGUGGAGACCGCCGGGGUCAACUCGGAGGAAGGUGGGGAUGACGUCAAGUCAUCAUGCCCCUUAUGUCCAGGGCUUCACGCAUGCUACAAUGGCUGGUACAGAGAGUGGCGAGCCUGUGAGGGUGAGCGAAUCUCGGAAAGCCGGUCUCAGUUCGGAUUGGGGUCUGCAACUCGACCUCAUGAAGUCGGAGUCGCUAGUAAUCGCAGAUCAGCAACGCUGCGGUGAAUACGUUCCCGGGGCU